ACGCUAGCUACAGGCUUAACACAUGCAAGUCGAGGGGCAGCAUUUUAGUUUGCUUGCAAACUAAAGAUGGCGACCGGCGCACGGGUGAGUAACACGUAUCCAACCUGCCGAUAACUCGGGGAUAGCCUUUCGAAAGAAAGAUUAAUAUCCGAUAGUAUAUUAAAACCGCAUGGUUUUACUAUUAAAGAAUUUCGGUUAUCGAUGGGGAUGCGUUCCAUUAGUUUGUUGGCGGGGUAACGGCCCACCAAGACUACGAUGGAUAGGGGUUCUGAGAGGAAGGUCCCCCACAUUGGAACUGAGACACGGUCCAAACUCCUACGGGAGGCAGCAGUGAGGAAUAUUGGUCAAUGGACGAGAGUCUGAACCAGCCAAGUAGCGUGAAGGAUGACUGCCCUAUGGGUUGUAAACUUCUUUUAUAUGGGAAUAAAGUAUUCCACGUGUGGGAUUUUGUAUGUACCAUAUGAAUAAGGAUCGGCUAACUCCGUGCCAGCAGCCGCGGUAAUACGGAGGAUCCGAGCGUUAUCCGGAUUUAUUGGGUUUAAAGGGAGCGUAGGUGGAUUGUUAAGUCAGUUGUGAAAGUUUGCGGCUCAACCGUAAAAUUGCAGUUGAAACUGGCAGUCUUGAGUACAGUAGAGGUGGGCGGAAUUCGUGGUGUAGCGGUGAAAUGCUUAGAUAUCACGAAGAACUCCGAUUGCGAAGGCAGCUCACUAGACUGCAACUGACACUGAUGCUCGAAAGUGUGGGUAUCAAACAGGAUUAGAUACCCUGGUAGUCCACACAGUAAACGAUGAAUACUCGCUGUUUGCGAUAUACAGUAAGCGGCCAAGCGAAAGCAUUAAGUAUUCCACCUGGGGAGUACGCCGGCAACGGUGAAACUCAAAGGAAUUGACGGGGGCCCGCACAAGCGGAGGAACAUGUGGUUUAAUUCGAUGAUACGCGAGGAACCUUACCCGGGCUUAAAUUGCAUUUGAAUAAUCUGGAAACAGGUUAGCCGCAAGGCAAAUGUGAAGGUGCUGCAUGGUUGUCGUCAGCUCGUGCCGUGAGGUGUCGGCUUAAGUGCCAUAAUGAGCGCAACCCUUAUCUUUAGUUACUAACAGGUCAUGCUGAGGACUCUAGAGAGACUGCCGUCGUAAGAUGUGAGGAAGGUGGGGAUGACGUCAAAUCAGCACGGCCCUUACGUCCGGGGCUACACACGUGUUACAAUGGGGGGUACAGAAGGCAGCUACCUGGCGACAGGAUGCUAAUCCCAAAAACCUCUCUCAGUUCGGAUCGAAGUCUGCAACCCGACUUCGUGAAGCUGGAUUCGCUAGUAAUCGCGCAUCAGCCAUGGCGCGGUGAAUACGUUCCCGGGCCUUGUACACACCGCCCGUCAAGCCAUGAAAGCCGGGGGUACCUGAAGUACGUAACCGCAAGGAGCGUCCUAGGGUAAAACUGGUAAUUGGGGCU
rnacentral:rRNA from 1 species